rnacentral:lncRNA from 1 species
UUUACCAAUGCACGCGGUGCUAAAGUGCCCUGACUUGCGUACAAAAGCAAGAUUCCAACGAGCUCGCCGAGAGGAGGCAUCCGUAGCUACUGCUAGCGGUAGGCGGUUAGUCAUACGCCGUCAAGACAGCCAGAGUGUCGCCAGUUUGACCAGUGCGAGACACUUCCAGACGGUGGAGAAAAUUCCAAUGUUUUCUUUUAUUAAUGCAGCUCUCUGCACAACGUGAACGUCGCCUAUGGGUCCGAUCUACGACAAGUUAGUGCAUGCAAUGCUGGUGCGACAGAAGACCAACCUGGCAGUCCCACUUCACAGGUUGCAAGGAUUUUGGCGUUCGUACGGUACACCAGAGGUACUGUUGCGUCACGCAUGCUGUGGUGGUACGUUGACAUGCGUUAUUUACAUACGGUCGUGAAGCAUCUCGAUGAUUUCCAAGGGACGCGCAUGCAGUUCGCUUGUUCUACUUGAGGCGGGCUGUCUACGACUGACCCUUUGAGCUCUUUGGGGAAAACCGAACAGCACGCCCCUGAGGGAGAGGUCAGGAGCGGCCCAUUUCGAACUGACUGCGUUAUUGAAGCGCAUUCGGUUUUUAACGUCGGAAGAUUAAUCGAAAGUACGUCUCUGGAGGCAAAGGGCACACGAGAGAGAACUGAUCUAAUACGUAGAGGAUAAUCGACAGGCAGGCGGUCCAUGGCUGAAGUGUCACGAUCCCCCGUCCCCCUUUCGCCCAAGAAAAUUGUCGAGUGGGAAGUGACCACUCUCGUGACUAUGAGUUGGCAGUAAUACGUCGUUCUACACGGGGUUGCUAAUAGGUUGAAUGAUCGCGGCAACAAGCUUCACAAGCGAUGCACGUGGAGAUGGGUGGAUGAGGGGCGUUGUGUUGGUCAGCAGCUGGAAGCCGGCUGGGGUUGUUGGUCCACAGCGAACAGCAGUGAUAAGUGUUGCUCCGGUCAUCGUCUGGUACACCGGACAUUUGUGGUAAAGGGCGGGCACUCUUAGGUAGCGUUUCAGCUCUCCUGAAGGAAGCACGGCUCUCGUCAGCACGUGGAGGCGCACAGGCCUGCAUUCUCCGAGCAGCAAACAACCACGGAUUCGCGCCCCGUUCGACUGCUGAAAAAGUUGUUGCAUGAUGGUUCGGCGUUGUAACAAUGCCCCGGGGGGGUCUUCUUCGAUGGCUACAUCCAGGAUCCACCAGUCGAUUUGUGUACCGGAGGUAAAGAAGAGCGGCUGGUCCUUUUCACAGGAAAAGAAGUGAUAGUGGCGAAUACCUUCUUCAGCCAUUAUGUCGUUGACUUUUCACUGGGGUGCAGCGUUCAAACCGCGAAAAUCACGUGGUACCGCCACUCCGAAUGUUGGCAAUAUACCAGUACACACUGGCAUAGGGCUUACGUUUUGACCUCUACCUUGUAGACCACCGUUGUCUGACUGAAGCAGGCCUGAACUGGGUGCAGUCGCAGAGGCCACUGCCUCUACGACUGAGGCGAACACGGUG